rnacentral:rRNA from 1 species
GAUGAACGCUGGCGGCGUGCCUAAUACAUGCAAGUCGAGCGAACAGAUAAGGAGCUUGCUCCUUUGACGUUAGCGGCGGACGGGUGAGUAACACGUGGGUAACCUACCUAUAAGACUGGGAUAACUUCGGGAAACCGGAGCUAAUACCGGAUAACAUUUGGAACCGCAUGGUUCUAAAGUGAAAGAUGGUUUUGCUAUCACUUAUAGAUGGACCCGCGCCGUAUUAGCUAGUUGGUAAGGUAACGGCUUACCAAGGCAACGAUACGUAGCCGACCUGAGAGGGUGAUCGGCCACACUGGAACUGAGACACGGUCCAGACUCCUACGGGAGGCAGCAGUAGGGAAUCGUCCGCAAUGGGCGAAAGCCUGACGGAGCAACGCCGCGUGAGUGAUGAAGGGUUUCGGCUCGUAAAACUCUGUUAUUAGGGAAGAACAAAUGUGUAAGUAACUGUGCACGUCUUGACGGUACCUAAUCAGAAAGCCACGGCUAACUACGUG